rnacentral:rRNA from 1 species
UAGAAUUGACGAGGACCCGCACAAGCGGUGGAUGAUGUGGUUUAAUUCGAUGCAACGCGAAAACCUUACCACCUUUGACAUGUACGGAAUCCUUUAGAGAUAGAGGAGUGCUCGAAAGAGAGCCGUAACACAGGUGCUGCAUGGCUGUCGUCAGCUCGUGUCGUGAGAUGUUGGGUUAAGUCCCGCAACGAGCGCAACCCUUGUCAUUAGUUGCUACAUUCAGUUGGGCACUCUAAUGAGACUGCCGGUGACAAACCGGAGGAAGGUGGGGAUGACGUCAAGUCCUCAUGGCCCUUAUAGGUGGGGCUACACACGUCAUACAAUGGAUGGUACAAAGGGUCGCCAACCCGCGAGGGGGAGCCAAUCCCAUAAAGCCAUUCGUAGUCCGGAUCGCAGUCUGCAACUCGACUGCGUGAAGUCGGAAUCGCUAGUAAUCGUGGAUCAGAAUGUCACGGUGAAUACGUUCCCGGGUCUU